rnacentral:piRNA from 1 species
UCCAUCUCGUGUGUAACUUCUAUUUCUCUG